rnacentral:rRNA from 1 species
GACGAACGCUGGUGGCGUGCUUAACACAUGCAAGUCGAACGGAAAGGCCCUGCUUUUGUGGGGUGCUCGAGUGGCGAACGGGUGAGUAACACGUGAGUAACCUGCCCUUGACUUUGGGAUAACUUCAGGAAACUGGGGCUAAUACCGGAUAGGAGCUCCUGCUGCAUGGUGGGGGUUGGAAAGUUUCGGCGGUUGGGGAUGGACUCGCGGCUUAUCAGCUUGUUGGUGGGGUAGUGGCUUACCAAGGCUUUGACGGGUAGCCGGCCUGAGAGGGUGACCGGCCACAUUGGGACUGAGAUACGGCCCAGACUCCUACGGGAGGCAGCAGUGGGGAAUAUUGCACAAUGGGCGGAGGCCUGAUGCAGCAACGCCGCGUGCGGGAUGACGGCCUUCGGGUUGUAAACCGCUUUCGCCUGUGACGAAGCGUGAGUGACGGUAAUGGGUAAAGAAGCACCGGCUAACUACGU